UUUAAAACUAUGCAUAAAAAACUCUCAACAUAUUAGUAAUUUUAUAUCUAAUUAUUGUAUUAUUAAAAGGAGAACCGCCUCUAGUGUUGUUCACACAAAUAAUAAUAAUAAUAAUAACAAUAAUAAUUAUGGUAAUAAUAGUAGUGAUAGUAGUAGCAGAAGUAGUAAAAGUAGCGACAGUAAAAAUCCUUAUACAUACGUAGAAAUUUAUCUAAUCAUAAAUAACAAAAAACAAGUCACAAUAAACCAAUUACAAACGAUUUUAAAAAAAAACACCAAGUAUAUUAUAAUAUGUAAAAUAUUAAGACUAAUAAAUAAAUAUAAACAUUUUAAAUAUACUGAAAAUUCAUCUAUCAUUUUAGUUUUAUAUCUAGUAUUAUGUAGAAUAAUACCUAAAUGCAAACUAUUAAAUUUAUUAUUAAUAAAGUGUAUAGAACUUUUAUUUUUUAGAGGAUGUUUGUAUUUGGUUACAAAAUUAUGUGAUUUUUUGUUUUUACUUUUUCCUAAUGAAAAAUAUAAUAAUAUAAUAUAUGAAAUAUAUAAGCUUUCUAAAAAUAGUUUCCUUCUAUAUUCAACAGUUUACAAAAAUAAUAAGUUUACAUUAAUAAAAAAUCAUAAUCUUAAUUAUGAUACUUGUAUAAAACUAUUUUCGCCCGAGUGGGGUUAUUACAUAUACGCUACUAGCAAUUUUAAUAUAUUUCCUUAUACAAUUAAAUUUAAUGGAUUUUUAAAAAAACAAACUAAUUUUUCUCACAUAACAAAAGAACAAACAUAUAAGUCUUUUCCUGGUGAUAUUUCACUUGCACUUACGGAUUUAAAUGAGGAACCCCAAGCGAAUAAAGUUGUCCAUACUCACAACCAACAAACAGAAAAUACCUUGAUUAAUAACUCGACCAUAAAUUGUAAUACUACCAAACUGGAUGAUAACCACAAUAAUAAUAAUAAUAAUAAUAAUAAAAAAGAAAAAAAACUUACCAUUCAAGACAAAGAACAAAACAGUUUUAUGCAAACACAUACGAAUGAUGAUAAAAAAGAUGGAGAAAGAGAGAACAUGGAAAAUGAACGGAAUGAGAAAAUUGGGAAGGGUGAACAGCGUGGGGAGGA
rnacentral:lncRNA from 1 species